AUGGUGUGCCUGCCAUCUAUCAAUCUCGGCCGUCCGAUCUGCAUCUAACGCAUCAGAUGUGAGCUCUGGCACUUUUGCAAAAAGACCCCGGCACUCUCUUCAUAUUAUUUUCAGAAAACCCCUUGUCUCUCCAUUCCAGAACCAUCCAGAUCCAUCCCUCACCACUCUCCUCUAGCCAGCAAUGGAACUCCGAUCUCGCGUGCUGGCCGCUGCCGGCGCCGCCUGCUCCCAAUGCCUCGGGUGCCUUCUGCCGCCGUAGCCACCACCACACCACGACCUCGUCUCCUCUGCCCCCUUUCCCGUCUACGGGCUGCACAUCCUCGCCGGUGGUGGCGCUGCAUGCUACUCAUUCUUCUCCAUCGACACGCUCCACGACCACCCCCUUCAGGGAGACAUUGGUUUCAGCCUUGGCCUUCUUCAGUUGAAAGAUUAUGCUGCUUAUUCUGUCAUUCUGAGAAAGUCAAUAUCUCAGCAGCAAGCUGGCAACUUAGGCAAUGAUGUUGGACGAUCCAAUUCUUUUGGACUCAAACUCUUGGUUUGUUGCUUUAUAUUCUGAAUUUCUUUUGUAAACAAAAGGGAGGAGUUGGAGAGGAUCUGCAAUUGUAAAAUUUACUUGUUUUCAUUGGAAUUGUUUACUUAAUUAUGAAAUGAUUUUUAUUUCUUCUGGAUUUGAUAUACUAUUCU